GCCGAACGUGGGUCUCUUGCCAUCUCCUGCAGUGGCAGGUGGGUUCUUUAGGGCUUUAACACUUCAGGGCUUUUUUGUUUGCUCAUUUGUCUUUUGGUUUUUGUCUCUUUUAGGACUGGGUAUAAAUAAGGUAGGGCUUCCCAGGUGGCGCCAGUGGUAAGAAACCUGCCUGCUGAUGCAGGAGCUGCAAGAGAGGUGGAUUUAAAGCCCUCUGUAAUCAAUGGGCAAGAAGGAAUCACAUGUAGACAGUUACACUUGAGAAUCUCUGAAAUCUUAUGGGUGAUCUGUACAUACAACUUGUACAGCCACAUACCACUGUGUAAACAUAUCCCCAUGUUUGUUUCUCCCAAAUAACACUCCCUGACAGAUGAUGAGUGGAAUUUCAGGCAAAAACCUUCCCUGUCCUUUACAGUUUUUUCUUUUUUCCCUCCGAUUGUAUAUGACUGCAGAUGCAUUAACUAAUGUGCAAAAGAUACAGCUUCACUGUAGAAAGAGCAAGGCUGUGGAGUCAGAUGGACCACAUAUGAAGCCCAGCUCUGCCACUCCGAGUGUGGUCCUCAGAGCAGCAGCGGCCACAUCACUCGGGAGCUUGUUAAGAUGCAGACUCAGUAGUCCCGAGCCAGUUUCUAAUCACAACCGCUGUGUUUACAAGAUCCCCAAGUGAUUGGUACGCCCAUUACAGCUCGAGAAGCCCCACGCCUAGUUAUCACCCAAAGCUUACUGUGCAAGGCCGUGUAGCUGCCCGGGUUCCGUGACAGGCAACACUUAAAGCGCCCAGCACCUAAGGUGGCUGAUGAUAGUUCCCUUCCCCACAGUCAAGAGCAUUUACGUUACAUAAGCAUGAGGCACAGUGAUGCUUUUAUAGAAGAGGAAUGAUUUUUAAAUUUCUCGUUUUAAUUCUCUCAAGUGAAAGACCCAGGUGAAACGUCAGCUUUUCCAAGAGCGUGUCGUAGGUCCCCAGUGAGAACUAAGCUCUCCUAUGUGCGAGGAGCGCUGUGAGCCUUUUAUUGAUAUGUCUGCACAUCGGUCUGUUCCAUCCAAGCCCUGUCCACUCUCCCCUUCUUCACAAGUCCGGGCGCAGUGGAGCGUGUAGUGGCAAAGCCAGAAACCAAGUAUCAUCAUUGCUACUGCCGCGUCAACAAGCUUCCAACAGGACCCAACUGUGGCUCCCAGAUGUCGAACAUUCUGGAACUGUUUCAGAAUAACCCGUCUCAUCUCCCUGUCGACAGAUGUGCUGUUUUACCACUUCCUCCAUCACGUGACUGACUUGACACGGAACCAGAUCACCGUUGUGUUCAACAUGCUGGACUGGAACGCAGUGGGCGAGAUUGGCUUCGACCAGUUCUACAUGCUGGUGUGUAUACUGCUGGCGCAAGAGCCUUCCAGGGAAUUCUGAUGUACGCUGAAGUGUCAGAACCACAGUGCUAGAAUAUCUCUAAAGACACCCAGAAAACUGGGGCCAGCUGUCACCUCUGGAGAGAAGUGCAAGAUGAAGAGCAGAAGCCAGAGAGACUUUUCCAUGUUCGGAUUUUUCCCCACGUGUACGUGUUGCCUGCUUUAAAUAAAAACUCAACAAUCAAAACCUGCCACUUCGAUCCAAAAUGGAAAAUCCUUCUGAAAAACUGAAUGAUGGGUUUUGGUUUACAGCAUGAUUCUUCAAAGGAAAAAACAACCUGCUGAGACCAAGGCUUCAAUGCAGCACAUAGGUAUAUCUAUAAAUGACCAUGUAUGG